GGAGAAGAGAUGCAAAUCAGAUCGGAUGUGCUGGAUAGUUGUUUCAGUGUGAUUUUUGGUCCUUAUAGUGUUAUUUGUUGGGAAGACUAUGUGCUUGGUGUUUGGUUAGCGUUUGGGAGCGUUUUCGGUUUUCGGACAAGUAAGAGUAAUGGAAUCGAACGGAGGCAAGAGGCUUGGCAUCAGGAGUGAUCAAGCAAGGCAAAGGUUCAAUGAAGUGUAUAUGUUUUCGGAAAGCUUAAGUGUGGCAAUG